GUUCGUCACUAUUGUAUCUGACUCGGCUCGUCUCGGUUUAGUUGUUUUUCCAUAUAGCCUCAUCGUGGGUGGAGUCGUCAUAGCGCAGCGAGCCGAAAGUCCCUUAACGUCAUUUGCGUGCGACACAAACGCAACAUAACGGAGACGAUGGUUCACCUGCUGCUCGGUCUGUGGCUUUCUGUCAGAUUCAGAGUAAUAGAAGAGUCGGAGAAAGCUGAGAGCGACGAGUCGAAACACUCAGGAGACACACAGGAGAGUUUGGGAGGCGAUGCAGCAGUAUCAAGCCGAAGACAAGAGGAUAUGAACUAGACGACAUAUGAGGAUGCUCUCUGAUGAGACUUCAUGGGAUUUACCUGAAGCAGCAGCACAUGAGCCUGCAGUGGCACAAGGUGUAGAGAAGGAGGACAGAGAUGUACAGGAUGCACUGAUGCACUACGUGUCAUAUCUCUACAUCAUUCAUCUGCAAU
ensembl:lncRNA